CCCGCCGCGGUCCGCAGCCUGCGCUUGGCGGCCCCCGGGGCUCCCCGACUGCGGCGGGGAAGAUUGGGCGCGGUCCCGCUGGAGAAGUUGCACCGGCUCCGCGGCUCUGCCUCCUUGCUGCCCCUGAUGCCCAGGACCCAGUCAGCGGCGGGAGCAAGAAAAACAGGCGGGGUUUCAAUGUCAACCAAGGCAUAGGGAGGUUAACAAACACCCCUGAAAACAAAACACACAGAAAAUACAUCCCAGAGGAUGUUGCGAAUCAUCCGCUCAAUGGUUCUUCUUCUUCGCAUAAUUUUUCGAGUUGAAAAUUAUUAUUAUUUUCCUGCAAUAAGUUGAAGAUUGGAAAGCUCUGGAUGCCAAUUCUGGUUCUUCCCUUACUUAACUGGCCGUUUGACCUCCACAAACCUGUUUACUCAUCGUAAAGGAAAGGGGUAGACCAAAUGGUUUAUAAUGUCUCUCCCAAUUCUAGGAAUUCCAUGCUCUUAAUUAUUUUAAUCAUUUUCUAAUAAAGCAUGAAAAUUGUUUACUCUUG